CCUACGGGUGGCAGCAGUGGGGAAUAUUGGACAAUGGGCGAAAGCCUGAUCCAGCCAUGCCGCGUGUGUGAAGAAGGCCUUCGGGUUGUAAAGCACUUUCAGUGGGGAAGAAAGCCUUGGGGCUAAUACCCUCGAGGAAGGACAUCACCCACAGAAGAAGCACCGGCUAACUCCGUGCCAGCAGCCGCGGUAAUACGGAGGGUGCGAGCGUUAAUCGGAAUUACUGGGCGUAAAGCGCGCGUAGGCGGUCUGAUAAGCCGGUUGUGAAAGCCCCGGGCUCAACCUGGGAACGGCGUCCGGAACUGUCAGGCUAGAGUGCAGGAGAGGAAGGUAGAAUUCCCGGUGUAGCGGUGAAAUGCGUAGAGAUCGGGAGGAAUACCAGUGGCGAAGGCGGCCUUCUGGACUGACACUGACGCUGAGGUGCGAAAGCGUGGGUAGCAAACAGGAUUAGAUACCCGAGUAGUC
rnacentral:rRNA from 1 species